UGUUCCUCUUGUCCCUUUGGUUGUUCAUUAUUGAUCUGAAAGCUUUCCUCUUUAUAUCCUUUCACCGUUCUCCUUCUACAGGAUUCGAAAUGGGCAAGAGAAACACACAUGGAUUGAGGAUGACGCUUUGGCUAACAUGAAAGAAAUAUGGUCUUCAGAUGAAUGGCAAAUAAAGUCUAAAAAAAACAAGCAAAAUAGAGCUUGUUUUGAAGGAGCUUCACAUGUUGGAGGCUCCAUUCCAUUUACCGAGCACAAAAAGAUUGAUGCAAGACCCUGCAAUAGAUCCAAAUUCAGUAGAUUGAUUGCUAUAUGAGAAGAUGCAAAUAUUUAAAAAGGACGGUACAUGGACUUCCCAGAGAUCAAAGGAAGUUGCUGUGAUUUUCUUUCCAUUACCUAUAAAGUUAUGGACAUUGUUGACUUUAGUCACCUUUAGUAUACUUGAUAAUAAUAUUAAAUGUGUGUCUACUUAAAAUUAUGAUAUGAUUAAAUUUUGCCUUAUAAAGCAAAUUUAUUUUCUGACUUGUAAUCUUUGUAAGGUUCAUUAAGUGAUGUUGAUAACUUGAUUAUGUUCGUUUAGUUGCUACCUUGAAAGCAACCUAAAUACGUUCAUUUGUAAUUUUUGGUUUAAUGCAUGAUAUUACUUGGUAAUCUGCAUAGCUAUGUUGGCAGAAAGCUAUAGGUAUGUUGCUACCUUUUAUUGGAACACCCUUUUUGAAAUAUCUAUGUGUUUAUAGAAUUGACACAUGUAUUGAUGACUAGUGUAAUUUGUUUAUUUUCAGGAUAAAUUCUUUGAGCGGAGGAAUGAACGUGACAUGGUGAUUGAAAAUGAUGCAUCCACCGACCAAUCUGAUAAUGAAUUAUUCCUGCAGACUGUUGGAGGUAUGAGCAAAAAGAGCCGCAUUUUUGGUUUGGGUGUAGAGGCAAGUAAAUACAAGGCUUCACAAAAGUCUGCUAGUUCAUCUCAAAGAGUCUCUGCAAAUGAGUAUAAUCGUAUGAGAAAGCUAGUGACAACCAUUUCCACCCAAAAUCAAGAAUUGCAGACAUAGAUGGCUGUUAUGAAAGAGCAACUGAAGAUUUUGAUGGCUCAUAUCUCUAUGCCCACUGCUACACCUCAUGCUCGUGAGGCACACAAUGAGGUUCAAGUUGGUGAUGAUGCGGAAGAUGAUGUCUAUGAUGCUGAGUUACACGAAGAUAAUUGAUAGUUAUUUUAUGAUCUUUUAAUACAUUUUGUGAACAAUACUUAUUAGUGAUAUUGUAGUUUGAUACAUUUGUUAUUUUUGCUUU